GACGAACGCUGGCGGCGUGCUUAACACAUGCAAGUCGAACGGAAAGGCCCUGCUUGCAGGGUACUCGAGUGGCGAACGGGUGAGUAACACGUGGGUGAUCUGCCCUGCACUUCGGGAUAAGCUUGGGAAACUGGGUCUAAUACCGGAUAGGAGCCAUCUUUAGUGUGGUGGUUGGAAAGUUUUUUCGGUGUAGGAUGAGCUCGCGGCCUAUCAGCUUGUUGGUGGGGUAAUGGCCUACCAAGGCGGCGACGGGUAGCCGGCCUGAGAGGGUGUACGGCCACAUUGGGACUGAGAUACGGCCCAGACUCCUACGGGAGGCAGCAGUGGGGAAUAUUGCACAAUGGGCGCAAGCCUGAUGCAGCGACGCCGCGUGGGGGAUGAAGGCCUUCGGGUUGUAAACUCCUUUCGCUAGUGACGAAGCUUUUUUGUGACGGUACCUAGAUAAGAAGCACCGGCUAACUACGUG
rnacentral:rRNA from 1 species